rnacentral:rRNA from 1 species
CCUACGGGUGGCAGCAGUGAGGAAUAUUGGUCAAUGGGCGCAAGCCUGAACCAGCCAAAUCGCGUGAGGGAAGACGGUCCUAUGGAUUGUAAACCUCUUUUGUCGGGGAGCAACAGACUCCACGCGUGGCGUUCCGAGAGUACCCGAAGAAAAAGCAUCGGCUAACUCCGUGCCAGCAGCCGCGGUAAUACGGAGGAUGCGAGCGUUAUCCGGAUUUAUUGGGUUUAAAGGGUGCGCAGGCGGAAGAUCAAGUCAGCGGUAAAAUUGAGAGGCUCAACCUCUUCGAGCCGUUGAAACUGGUUGUCUUGAGUGAGUGAGAAGUAGGCGGAAUGCGUGGUGUAGCGGUGAAAUGCAUAGAUAGCACGCAGAACUCCGAUUGCGAAGGCAGCAUACCGGCGCUCAACUGACGCUCAUGCACGAAAGUGUGGGUAUCGAACAGGAUUAGAUACCCUAGUAGUC